GGAAGGAGAAGUCGUAACAAGGUUUCCGUAGGUGAACCUGCGGAAGGAUCAUUGUCGAGACCGAAACUAUAUCGAGCGAUUCGGAGAACCUGUGAAAUAAGCGGCGGCGGCAGUCGCCGCGCAACAGCCAUCCCCGCCGUCGCCCCCACCCCCUUGUCUGGAGGGGGGGCGCGACGGGGGACGGCUGAAACCCCAAACCGGCGCAGAUUGGCGCCAAGGUAACACUAUCGAAAAGCACGAGCCCGGCAUCGGGUCUUCGUGGGGCGGAGCGUUGUUGCGCACCGCACGUAUUGACACGACUCUCGACAAUGGAUAUCUCGGCUCUCGCAUCGAUGAAGAGCGCAGCGAAAUGCGAUACGUGGUGCGAAUUGCAGAAUCCCGCGAUCCAUCGAGUCUUUGAACGCAAGUUGCGCCCGAGGCCAAUCGGUCGAGGGCACGUCCGCCUGGGCGUCAACCGUUGCGUCGCUCCGUGCCAAGUCCCCGCCGUCCCACCGCAGUGGGGGUGCCGGGCGAGGCUCGGACGCGCAGAGUGGCCCGUCGUUCCCAUCGGUGCGGCGGGCUGAAGAGCGGGUUAUCUUCUCAUUGGCCACGAACAACGAGGGGUGGAUGAAAGCUGCCGCGGGCAAGGCCCGCGUUGUCUCGUGCCGGCCCGAGAGAAGAUUGCACCCUCCAUGCGAUCCCAUCCCACGCGCCGCCUCCGUGCGGCGGCUUGGAACGCGACCCCAGGACGGGCGAGACCACCCGCCGAGUUUAAGCAUAUCAAUAAGCGGAGGAAAAG
rnacentral:rRNA from 1 species